UACGUAGGGUCCAAGCGUUGUCCGGAUUUACUGGGCGUAAAGAGCGCGUAGGCGGUCUUGUAAGUGUGAAGUGAAAUCUCCAGGGCUCAACCCGGAAACUGCUUUGCAUACUGCAGGACUAGAGGGAUGCAGAGGUUUGUGGAAUUCCUGGUGUAGCGGUGAAAUGCGUUGAUAUCAGGAGGAACACCCAUGGCGAAGGCAGCAAACUGGGCAUCAUCUGACGCUGAGGCGCGAAAGCGUGGGUAGCAAACAGG
rnacentral:rRNA from 1 species